rnacentral:tRNA from 1 species
GGAGAUGUAAGUUAAUUUAAACUGUUUGACUCAUGAUCAGGUAAUGCUUAGGCUUUCUCCU